rnacentral:tRNA from 1 species
GGGAGUGAAUGGGUCCUGGUGGGCUUCACGGGCUUCAAACCCGGUAGGCGCGCGGCUAACCCGGGCGCGGUAGGUUCGAUUCCUACGCACUCCCGCCA